rnacentral:tRNA from 1 species
GCGGCCAUGGCGGAACUGGCAGACGCGCUAGGUUCAGGUCCUAGUACUCGCAAGGGUGUGGAGGUUCGACUCCUCUUGGCCGCA